UACCACAUACAACCAUAAAUAUCUCAUUUUGAGUAACCUACUUACUAAGAAGGCAUAACUACCCAUGUUCUAUACCACUUGAAAUUUGAUUCGCUAGUAAAAAUUUUACAGUCAAACCU